UUUUUAAGAUUUAUUUAUUUGUUUGUUUAUACAUGCAAGCACUGGGUACAGUCAGAAGCGCGGGAGGGUGAGAGAAUUCACCAGAGCCAGAGCAGGGAGCAGAGCAGGCAGAAGGACCGAAGUACACUGCUGAGGGGAGCAGCAGGCGGCAGGAGAGGUCUGUGCACCAUGUGGGACCCUCCUCCGGUGGCCGGGGAGCAGCUGGGGAUCGAAUUGGGACCACAAAGGCCGCGGGCAGCUUCACAACCCAGCGCUCAACCGCUGCGCCACCGGGGAGGCCCAUGCUUAUUGAUUUUUAAUGUAGUCAUCUGGACAUGUACUUAAUCAUAAGUUGUCCCCCAUCAGCAUUAACCAAUUCCUCCAUUUUAAGGCUUUCUGUAACAGAUGAGAACACUCAGGUGGUUGUCUACACAAUGUUACAUCACCAGCAGGCGCUGUUCUCGAUAGCUUAUAUCUGAAAUAGUUUUGACUGUUUUCAAUAACUACACACUUUUUGUUCUCUUAGUAGCCCGGAAUAUUGAGUGCUUUCAAAAUAAUGCCGGAGUAUUUUAAAGAAUUUUGCAAAACACUUCAUGGUAUUGGUGCUUUGCCAUCCAUUUUUUUGUACCUAAACUAUCUCUGGGGACCCUGAAGUGACACUAGACCCUCUUUUAGAGGUUCCUGCUAUCGUCUGUUGUAACACUCUGCAUGAUCACAAGAAAAAUAUAAAUUCUCACAUGACUUCACAUGCAGAAAUUGUCUUGCCUCUCCUGUCUAGGGGCCUCCCCUUGGUUGGCCCUGGAUAAAAUCUCCAUAGAGCUGACAAUUGAUAAUACUUAGUUACUUCCAUUAACUAAUACUGUAUUUCUGCCUUUGGUUUACCUGCAGCAAUACAAUUUUCAGGAUCUUUGAAAUACUACAGUAUUGACCUUUUAGUGGCCUUCAAACAUACAUUGUCUUAGAUUUGAUAUAUAUGUAAUCCAACAUGUAAGUACAUUGAGACAUCACUUAGGAAUGACAGAUUGGUUGCGGGGGGUGGGGGAAGUAGGUGUGUGUUUAUAUUACGUGCAUUCUGGAGAGCAGGGUGUGUGUGUAGGGAAGCAUUUUGUGAUGUCACUGGCCUGGGCAGCAGUUGCUUAUUUUUCAGAGAAGAGGCAAUUACUUCUAAAAUGGGGAUGUUUGCAGGAAGUAUCUGGCAGGAUGGAGGCACCCUCUAUUCCAUUUCGGGGAAAAUCAGGAUAGCUCACACUGACAUCUUUUAAGAAUGAUGUGGGGUCUCCCGGGUGGCACAAGAGAUAAAGCACAGCACUAUGAAGCUAUCCACAGCCUCUGUAGCAUGUGUUUGAUCCCAGGCCACCAGGGAGAAACCCAGUUGGGGUGGCACACCUCUCCUGCCUUGCUUGCUGCUCCCCUCAGCAGUGUUUUCAGUCCAUCUGCCUUUUGUGCUCCCUGCUCUGUCUCCCCUACCACAGAAAGGGGAAUAGAACUGGCAGACUCACAAAAUACACUGCUGAGGGGAGCAGCGGGCAUGACAAGAGGGGUCUGCCAUGCCUUGUGGGACCCUCGCAGGCCGGCCGGGAUCGAACUGGUGCUGCAGAGCCUGCAGACAGCCUCAAGUGCGAUGCUCAACAGUCUGCGCCACCAGGAGAGGCCCCCAAAUCAGACUGCGGGUUCACAAUGACUGGCGGCUCCCCUCUUGACUCCCCUCUUGGCUCCCCGUUGGCUAAUUGCUUUGGCAACUAUCAGUACAAACCACAUCUGAUAGAAUGAAAGUCUCUCCGUAAUUUGAGCAGAGGCCAUGCCAGGGACUGUAUUGGUUCAGGUUGUCCUAAAUUGCCUUCUGAGUGGAAACAAGUUUUUUUCUAGCUGGCCUACGAGGCUGUGAUUGAAUAGGGAGGGAAACCAGUGACUCUAUGUGUUUCAUUUUUCUAAAUUGUUGGUAAUAUAAGUUGGCAUAUUCCUCGGAUUUUCAUUUUAGGUUUCUCCAUUUAGCCAUGAUACUUGGGAGGUUUCUCCCACGAGGCCUCUGAGCUCCAUGUCUAAAACAAAAAAUUCUCAUUUGAGGCUGGGGUAGAUAGAAAGAAAAUAGACUUUUAGAGAAGCAUGAAAAAUAUUUUAGUGUGUUUAUUCCAGUUUAUCUACUUCAACGCGUGUAGUAGGUAGAUGAAGAAAUGGGAGGAAUAAAGCCCCAAAUAGUUGACUUUUUAAUACAAAACUCGCUGCGAGUGGGCUUGGAAUACAUGUUAGUGCUCCGUUGGUCCCAGUCUUAACCACUUGCAAAGCCUCGACUGUGAGACACAAUAAGAAAUGGUCUUCUUAAGCCCCCGUCAGCACUCUGCGGAAGGCUUUGUUUCAGCCCAGAUGGUCAAUAGCGCCCUUAGGUGUCUGGGCACAUGCACUGACUGACCAGGGAAGAACUCCUGGUGAUAAUCCGGCGCCUUUCAGCUUUGUUUAAGAUGUAGCAAGGAACCUGUGGGAUGGAGGCAGCACUUUCUUGUUUUCACAUCUAGUUCUGCUGUUCCCUGGUUUACUCUCUGCCACAUGUGGUUCCUUCUAGUCUUGAAAAUGUGGCUGAUGCCACUGUUUGCUUUCACAGGGAUCCCAAAUUCCAAAUCCUGAAGAAGGUGUAAGUUGGAUGUUCUGGUAUCCACUGGUGUCCAGUGUUUGGAAAUGCACUGGGCUAGUUUGGAAAGUUUGGAUUCUCUGAGCUUUCUUCUGGAGAGUCUGCAAUCACUGCCAGUCUCUACACGAUGGGAGAGGUGUUGCAGAGUCCUGCUACAUUCCUUAGUCUGCCUGGCCUUCAUUACCUGUAUCAGGUGUAUCUGGAUACACCUGAUAGAAAGUCCAGAUAGACUUUCUGGUGUAUCUGGACUUCAGGGGCAGCCUUGGCCCUCUCCAACUCAAGACAACUCCUCCCAAACACUUUAUCUGCAGGGAGCCAUUGAGGAACCCCCUGUGCGCCAACAUUUUUUGAUUUUUUUUUACUGUGUGCAGUGUUGUAGAUCUGUGAUUUCAUUCAUCUGUAAACCACGCUCAGCAGUGGCUAUUGCUGGUCCCAUUUUAUACAUGAGAAAAUUGAGACUUGAAGGAAGAGCAGCUUGCCGAAAGUCCACAGCUAUUAAGGAAAAUGGACUCCAAAGCCUUUCCAGUAACCUGUUUACCUCCCUGGAAGGAUUUGGGCCUCUGUCCUUCUCCUGGCAGGAAAGCAUUCCCUGCGGACUCUGUAGGGGGCUGCCCUCCUGCCCUGUGGAGCAGCUGUGAUAAGUGCUCACUGCAACCUGCAUGGGGCUCUCUGCACUUCUGUCAACACCCUCCUGUUGAGCAGGAAGCCACACUCACAUUCCUCCAGAAGGUUAGUGAGAGAGCUGCAAGCAGAAGUUGAUUUUUCUUUCCCUUCCGAAACAAGUAUCACUCAACUCCUUUAACAAUUGACUUCCUAAGUUGACUUUGAGUGUAGGUGAUGCAGCAAGCCCCAGACCUAGGAUUUUCAAAAUGUCCUUGGCCAGUUAUUACCAAUGACUGUCAAAUGUGUUCUCGGUGGUCUGGGUGUAUCCCAUGGGAAAAUGCCUUUUCUCAGGGAGUGGAGCUUUUACAGUUCAUUUGUGACUUAGAUUUUAGCUGUAUGUUGAAUUCAUACCUUUCUCCGCUCUUAACUAUCUUGUCUCAUAGCAGAAGCUGUUGAAUGUGGUCUGUGCUCGUACAUUAGGUUUCUGAUGUGAUUGUCUUUAUUCUGGUGGGUUGGGCUGGGAAGGGGUCGCUUCAGCCGUGGCCAGUGAUAUCCUGGGGAGUAAGUGAAUCCAUUGGCCCUGGAUUCUGUCCAGUAUAUUCAGUUCCUUUAUUUCACAUCCUAGGGAGGUGACAUGAUGGUCAAGGUUACAGUACUUCUUAGUGGUACCUCUUGUCACCCAGAUUUCUAAGUCACACUGCCCUCAUACCAGGAUUUUGGGGGCUCUCUGAUAGGAGGAGGGAGGCUUAGAGAUGAAGUGACUUGUCUGAGGUCCUGGCUGGUUGGUGUAUGAGUUGCAGCUAGAACUCAAACCUGAUAAGGACUGGAAUGUAGCUAACUGAAUGUUUAGCUACAGAAUGUUUUUGUUGUAUUUUAGCUGACUGAAUGUUUUUAGAAACUCAAUUAUGUCUCCACUCUACCAAAAAAACUAGCUGUUUAAACUUUCCCAUUGUGAUUGUAAGGUGAACAGUUCUCUCUGAUUUGUCUUAUAGUAGGGGGAACAGGGACACCAAUUCAUGUGUUUACUUUUUGGAUUUCCUGAGGCCAGCUCUCCUUAGGUUGCCCCCACCCCAAUCCUAGAUCCAGACCUAUGGCUCCACUGCCUGAGGACUCUGCUCCACCCGCUGCCUCUGUUUUUCUACUGCAGAGGAUGUGGAAGUGGGAGCUCAUUAAACAAAAAAAUCAGGAGUUCACCCUGCAUUUCAGUUCCCUUUUGGAGCCAGGGUGGAGAGCAGAGAAAGAAAGGUGUGCUGCUCCACAAUGUGGCUGAAGACUUUGCAGCCAUUGGGCUGACCUCCCCCUGGGCAGGAAAGUGGACAGACAGGGAGUGCUCCCAAUUUCAGGGGUGGCCCUCCUGAGUGGCUUCCAGCACUUGUUACAAGAACAGUGAAGACCUUCUGGGCAGCUGCAACAGGCGAUAGGCUCGAUGGCCUCACUGGAUCUUGAGCUGAAGCCAGGACUGUGCUGAGUGACCCCAGUCAGUGAGCAGUGCAAAGCAGUGGCCUCCGAACCUUCCUCUUCCCCACAUCCCAGUCUCUCUGUGCUGGAGUCCUGGACAGGGCACCGGAACAUCUGGCUCAGUCAGGCUACUAAAGUGUUGCACUACUGAACACUCUUGAAUCUGCUGCACCCUUUCUGUUUACACAGUGAGCAGAGUAAUAGCAAGACUGUGCUACACGUGAUGGCUCUGCACUUAGCUAGGCUGUCAGGCAGGCCAGGCUCUGCCCCAUGGUGGCCUGCUGCCAUUGUGUUUCCCUUCCUGUGCGGGUCUCUGCUGUCCCUGAAGCAUCACCAGGACACCUUGGUGUCCUUCUGAAUGUAAUGACUUACUUGUAACUCUAGUCACAUCCCAGGAAAAGAAACAAAAGCAGGGACCUGACCGCCUCCUUAGACCCUCUUUCUUGUUUAGGCAACCAAACAUAUUUAGAAUUGGGCCCUGUGUCUAGCCCAGGGGAGGAAGAAGUUUCUAGCAGUUAUGGCUUUUGUUUGCUGCCUGGUGCUUUCACAGAAAUACUUCAUUUUUUUAAACCAAAAUUGCAUUUGUUCAGUUGUCAUUGUUGAGGAUGUGUUUCUUGUGUUUUACAGACGUGAGUAUAUAUAUGUAUGUACUUAUAUAUAUGUAUGUAUGUAUGAAGAAAACCAAAUGUAUAUGACAAGGUCAAGGCAUGUAUACUAGAUAUUUUGAAGUUAUUUAUCAAGGGGAAAGAUGUGUGUUAUAGAGUAAACAGAGUCUGUAUUUUAUAUAUAAUGCGGAUAGCAAGAAUAGCAUCCACAUUAUACACAAGUUUCGUUUCCUCUUUUAUUAUUAAAGGAAAAGAAAAGAGGACCAUAAAUUCAGCUGUUCCCAGGGUUGUGAAGGCCAGGACACCGUCGCGGGAGGGACUGCCCGGCCCUGGGGUAUGCUCUGUGUUCAGGCCCAGUCCUACACUCCCCACCGGCUGGCUCUGCCUCCCCGGGGCUUCCUGCUCUCCCCCAAAGUCUGCAUCGCUGGAGUGAAGGGUAUAAAAAAAGACCUGCUGAGACCCUCAGGAGGAGGUACUUGCAUGAGAGACGGUGUCUGUGUCUUCCUCACUCCUACCUGGCUCCACUUCCCCUCAGCCCUCCGAAAAAUUUCAUCAAGGCGGUCCUCUCCUGCUGCAAUCCCUGACACGACAUCUAGUUGGAAUUGGUCUCCAACCUGUGAAGAUUCCCCACCUUGAACAUUCCCUGUUCACUGAACUCAGCCCUUUAUCCUUCAAUUAGACGGGAGUAUGGAAUCAGGGAAGAGCUUCUCUCUGUCUUGGCCAGAAGAUGGCGCGGGGGCUCCAAGUGCUGCUCCCAGUGGCGUUAGAAGAAAAUCUUGUGGGAGAGAAAUUGCUGGGUGGAGGGGUGCACGGAGGUGCCACCUGCUGGGGUCUCCCCUUCCGCUUUCCCGUGGACAUCCCUGGCCAGCUGGAGACUCCCGUGCAGAAGCCACCCUCUUGGGCAGGUGUUUGCCCCAGGGAUGUCCCCACAGUGGGUCUGGGGAUCACUGCAGCAUGGGCAGGAAUGAAAGAGGCCGGGGGGGGACAGAGACCCCUCGUGGCUCAGGCCCCUUGUUGGGGCAGGUCCGUUCCAGG